ACAAUCUUUUUAAAAAAAUUGGUGUCUGAUGAUUAUUCAUCUUUUAUAUACUAGGUUAUGUGAAAUAUCCGUCACUGUCAAUCAACGAUAUUGGUUUGUCAACUUGUUCUUGAAAGUUAUUUCGAAAAGUGUUAGAUAAUGCGUAAAAAAGAUAUAAUAGGUAUAAUGAACAAUCGCAGCUGAUGAUUUUAAAUGCAUUGGAUUUUUUUCAACUGGAAAAGGAACAAGUCCGAAAGGGAAUUGCACUUCAAAUUGAGAAUGUGAUAGAGCGAGCCGCAGAUGCAACAAAAUUGAGCACAACAACGAUCGCAAAUAUAAAAUAGAAUGGGAUAAAAUCAGAUCAGGAUUACGCAGCCCGUAUAUCUUCCAAGCAAAAGACAGCAAAAACCAAAAUUACAACAUAUUUGAAACAUAGAAUUCGGGACACAAUUUAUUCUAUGUACGGCAGAAAAGAAUAUGUAAUAUUGGCAACAAUAAGAGAAAAGUUCAGGGAAGAAAUUGAAUAUUUUGAGUUUUCCAUUGACUCCUUAAGAAGAUGGAUCAAUAGUAUAGGCUUCAAGUGGAAAAAAUCAAAUAACAGAAAAUAUUUGAUGGACUUGCCAAAUAUUGUUCAUAAAAGAAUCAUUUUUUUAAGGGAGUAUAUCAAAAAUAGAAAUGUAGGUCCGGAAGGUUUUACUCCAGUUUUCAUUGACGAGACGUGGAUUUUUAGCAAGGGAUCAUUUCGUAGUAGCUGGCAAGAUGACACCAAGCACACGGAUUCAAGGAAAAACAGUGAAGGUCAUCGUUAUAUCGUGGUCCACGCCGGAACCAAAGAUGGCUUCAUCAAGGGUGCAAAUUUAAUAUUCAAGAGUGGAUUAAAGACGGGAGAUUAUCAUGACAAUAUGAACAGGAAAAACUUCGAAAACUGUUGUAGAUUUGGUUUUUGCGGUCUUUUACUUGGAAAAUAUAUGAGCAGCGUAAUCCUGAUCUGAUUUUAUCCCAUACUUCUUUAUAUUUGCGAUCGUUCUUGUGCUCAAUUUUGUUGCAUCUGCGGCACGCUCUAUCACAUUCUCAAUUUGAAGUGCAAUUCCGUUUCGGACUUGUUGUUUAUGUCCCAUUAUUUAUGAUUAAUUAUAAUAAUAUUUGUUAAUUGUUAAGUUUGUUAAUACAAUAAAUACUACAAGAUUUUUUAACAUUUUUUGGGAAUGAAAGUAUAUACACAAAUAUAAAAAUAUAAUAAUAUGCUGCUAAAAUAAAUCAUUUGUUAAUUUCUGAAAGUAUAAAAAUACCUAGCAGACUAUUAAUUUCUGAAGGCGAUGGUAAAGUUUCUAACCUAAUAUUGAUUGGCAAAAAUAUCUACGCCAUACGUUUUUUCUCACCUGGAUGACGUAACUACAAAUGGGUAAAGUACAAUGCAACGAUAUAUUAGAAUGGUCACCCGUCAAAACACCAGCAUUCCAAACAAUGUCAUCCACCUUCUAUUUACAUUGUUUGAGAAGUAAAAUGCUGACGGGUGACCAUUCUAAUAUAUCGUUGCACUGGACUUUAUAAUUUCGACUUUAUUAACAGUUGGCGAAAAAGAUAAACUAGUUAACAAGGAACAUUUAGUAAACCAAUCAGGUUUAAUUUUUUAUUGUGCAGCAAGUGAAAUGUAUGAUAUAACAGCUCAUUUACAAAUAGGACACAAAAGAGAAAAGGCAAUGGAAAAUGAAAUAAAAAAGAAAUACUGCAAUGUUACUAGAGAGGUAAUUCAUAUAUAUUUAGACUUGUGUCAAUCGUGUGCUCUGAAGAAAAAGGUAAAAAGUAAAGGAUUAGUUGUAAAACCUAUGAUUAUGAGUGAAAUGAAUUCACGUUGCCAGGUAAUGUUAAUUAACAUUUGUCAUUAUUAUUUCCAUGGUUAUGUGUUCUGUUACGUUAUAUUGUAUUUACCUUGAUAACAUUUUGAUUUGCUGUAACUUUAUUAUCACAGUACCACUAACUUAAUGUUUUUCUUUAGGUUGACCUUAUCGAUAUGCAAAGUGAGCCUGAUGGAGAAUAUACAUUUAUUCUCAAUUAUCAAGAUCACUAAACUAAAUUUGUAAUACUACGACCACUUAAAACAAACACAGCAAAUGAAGUGGCAGAUGUUAUUCUCGAUAUAUUCUGUUUGUUUGGAGCCCCAAAUAUUUUGCAUAGUGACAAUGAAAGAGAAUUCAGCAACCAGGUAAAUUUGAUUGCAUUGUACAAAAGCUUUUAUUACUUGAGUAAACUUUAGGUCAUUGAACAAUUAGCAGCCAGUUGGUCAGCUAUAAAAAUCGUUCACGGUAAACCACGACAUUCUCAGAGUCAGGGCUCCGUUGAAAGAGCAAAUCGAGAUGUUCGCGAUAGCCUUGUAGCCUGGAUGUCAGACACGAACUUAAAAAUAUACCUGGACUGCUAAUGCACAUGGCCACGAUACCCAAAAAUGACCACUGCAUGGUGGCCGCCAUUUUUAUAGUGGUUGUGUCCUUUUGAUGUUGGUCACUCUGAAAAUUUUUAAUGUUGCCAACAAAAAAUAUAUUAAAUAACAGUAAUGAAGUUGACAUUUGACGUGUGAGUAUAGCGGAUUGCCUAGUUUUUGGCGAUUUGUAAACGACGCUUGGGUAUAUCGUCUGGAACAGGCGAUGUAUCUUUCUCCUUAUCUAAUACGUGAAUAAUGUAUCACCAUCUUUAUUUAAAGGUAUUUGGUUCAGUUUCUCAAAACCGAAUUAUUGUGAAUUGUCUGUCUGUGUUGUUUAUAAUAGAAUGAUAUAUUGAGGUGUUGACAGAAUAAUAUAUUUGUAAUUUUUACUAUAUAAACCCUUUAUAAUUACAAACCCUCAUAAAAUCAUCUAUAUUUUCAUUCUUAUAUAUGGUUGUACCUAUUAAUGUGGAAACACUGUACAUGGAAGGAAAGCAAAACUCGUCAUAGUAAAAAUAGAAAGAAAAUAAGUGUUUUUAACUGAAUUUGUUAAGUAAAUACAACCAAACAUUUAAAUGAAUAAUAUGAUUUUCAUGGUAUUAGGAUUUAUAAGAUUCAAGAUUAUCAGAGUGAUAAAACAAAUAUUUUAAAGUGCAUGCAUCUAUUCCAAGUUGAUUGAAACUUUGUCUCAUUUUAGAUGAGGACUACUUUCUUUCAUAAAUUUUAACGAAAUUCUUAAAGGAAAACAAGAAAAAUCACAGAUCUAACGCAAUUAUCUUAAAUUCUUACCUAUAUGUAACUUUCUAUUUUGUAUUUUUGUAAACAUAACCUCUCAAAAACUUUAACUGUUUUGUAUCCUUACAAUUGGCACAACUAAAAUUUGUCAGAGUGACCAACAUCGAAAAGACACAAUCACGGAAAAUAGCUGCCCCCUAGUAGUGGUCAUUUACUUUUCAUUGAAUUGGCAGUCCAGGUAUAUUUAUUAAGUUCGUGAUGUCAGAUAAUAACUGUCAAAAUUGGGCAAAAGACCUUCGAAUUAUUCAGACUACAAAAAACCGCAGUUUCCAUACAGGUAUAAAGCGAACACCUUAUGAAGCCAUGUUUGGAACUCCACAGAGAAAUGGACUUUUGGAUUCAUGCUUGGACACACACUGUGUAGCAAAUGAAAUUAAGACCGAAGAACAACUUGAAGAGCAUCUGAAAUUAAUAAAAGAGUCUUUAGAAAACGAACAAGAAAACGACACCGAAUUUAGUAUCGAAAAGGAACGAGAAAACGAAAUGCAAUUUUAUAUGGAAACCGAAUUAGAUAUAGAAGUCGAAAAUAAUACGAACGAGGGAAGGUUGGUAAAUGGAAAAGUCGAUAUGAUGAAUUGUUUUGUUUGUGAUAAUAUGUACGUCCCACGCAAUAAGUGCAUUGAAUGUAAUGCAUAGUCAUUGCAUAUGGCCUGUGCCAUUGAUUGGGAUUUACCAUUAUGCAAACUUUGUGGUAAUAAAAAGGCAACUGAGUUGCAAACGGAGGCUUGAACAACAAGUUGAUAAAAUGCUUAACCAAUCGCAAAGCAAAUUUCCACCUGUUAAUGUAGGUGACAAUGUUUUGAUAAACGUACCAGAGGUAGAUCGCGGGCGUUUAGCUCCUCGAAACGUAUUAUCAGUCAUUAUGGAAAAAACCGAUCAAGGAUUGUACGUUCUGGGUACCAAAAAUGGAAAAUUGACACGAUUAUACAGCAGAAAUGAGUUUCAAUUAUCUCCUUCAGUAUUUUUAUCUUUAUCUGAGGUCGUUGCAGAUUCUUCUGUCAAUGUGCGCCAGGAAGCCAUGUUGUCUUCGGGGUCUAAACAAGGUUUUGUUAAAUGUAACUGUUUGAAAGGUUGUCAAACUAAAGCAUGUGCAUGUGUAAAAUGUAAUUCCAAAUGCCACAAGAGUAAUUCUUGUAAGAACAAAUAGUGUUUUUCAAAUAAUUUUUAUUUUCCUAUUUCUACAUUUCGUUUAGUGUUUUGUUUUCAAUAUAAUAUACUGUAACUCUGUGAUAGGUGUGUACCUUUUAAUAAACGUUUUAUAUUG